GACGAACGCUGGCGGCGUGCUUAACACAUGCAAGUCGAACGGAAAGGCCCUGCUUUUGUGGGGUGCUCGAGUGGCGAACGGGUGAGUAACACGUGAGUAACCUGCCCUUGACUUUGGGAUAACUUCAGGAAACGGGGGCUAAUACCGGAUAGGAGCUCCUGCGGCAUGGUGGGGGUUGGAAAGUUUCGGCGGUUGGGGAUGGACUCGCGGCUUAUCAGCUUGUUGGUGGGGUAGUGGCUUACCAAGGCUUUGACGGGUAGCCGGCCUGAGAGGGUGACCGGCCACAUUGGGACUGAGAUACGGCCCAGACUCCUACGGGAGGCAGCAGUGGGGAAUAUUGCACAAUGGGCGGAAGCCUGAUGCAGCAACGCCGCGUGCGGGAUGACGGCCUUCGGGUUGUAAACCGCUUUCGCCUGUGACGAAGCGUGAGUGACGGUAAUGGGUAAAGAAGCACCGGCUAACUACGUG
rnacentral:rRNA from 1 species